CCCGCCCAGAACACCCUGCCCCCAGGAGAAGGGGACACGCUGGGUCAGAUGCUGCCAAGGAAGACAGGGACUGAGACGUGACUGUUGGGUUUGGACACCGUGGGCAAGGAGAUGGAAUCUCACUACACUGCCAAGGCUGGACUCAAAC